GAUGAACGCUGGCGGCGUGCCUAAUACAUGCAAGUCGAGCGAACGGACGAGAAGCUUGCUUCUCUGAUGUUAGCGGCGGACGGGUGAGUAACACGUGGAUAACCUACCUAUAAGACUGGGAUAACUUCGGGAAACCGGAGCUAAUACCGGAUAAUAUUUUGAACCGCAUGGUUCAAAAGUGAAAGACGGUCUUGCUGUCACUUAUAGAUGGAUCCGCGCUGCAUUAGCUAGUUGGUAAGGUAACGGCUUACCAAGGCAACGAUGCAUAGCCGACCUGAGAGGGUGAUCGGCCACACUGGAACGGGACCACGGUCCAGACUCCUACGGGAGGCAGCAGUAGGGAAUGUUCCGCAAUGGGCGAAAGCCUGACGGAGCAACGCCACGUGAGUGAUGAAGGUCUUCGGAUCGUAAAACUCUGUUAUUAGGGAAGAACAUAUGUGUAAGUAACUGUGCACAUCUUGACGGUACCUAAUCAGAAAGCCACGGCUAACUACGUG
rnacentral:rRNA from 1 species